rnacentral:lncRNA from 7 species
AGGGGAGCUGCCUGAUCAUUUAUGUCAGCAGGCAAGUUGAAUUCUUGGGGGCCUAUGAUGUGAUCGAUGAGGAUUUCCUCAUCCAAAACCUCUAUUGGCAGCUCAUGAAUCUGUUGUUGCAUUUCAUCAGACAGCUACAGAAGAAGUUCCUCCUAUGGAAUCAUUGCAGAAGGGACAUUCCCCUGAACUUCAUAAGCGCAUCACAUGCUUACGGCCUGCCGAUAAUAAUCAUCCGCGUGGCGAAUUGAAUUGGAUCCACAUGCGACGGGAGGAGCGAGUGCGUAGUAGUAGCACGGCUACUCCAUCCUACUGGCGUUGAAUCUUCGUCCCAUCUGAGACGACUAGCUAGCUGGUGCAACGUUCUUCUUCCAACAUGUGGCUUACAAAAGUUGAAUGAAUUUCUCUGCACGAUUUCUUCCGGAAACCCAC